GACGAACGCUGGCGGCGUGCUUAACACAUGCAAGUCGAACGGAAAGGCCCUGCUUUUGUGGGGUGCUCGAGUGGCGAACGGGUGAGUAACACGUGAGUAACCUGCCCUUGACUUUGGGAUAACUUCAGGAAACUGGGGCUAAUACCGGAUAGGAGCUCCUGCUGCAUGGUGGGGGUUGGAAAGUUUCGGCGGUUGGGGAUGGACUCGCGGCUUAUCAGCUUGUUGGUGGGGUAGUGGCUUACCCAGUCUUUGGCGGGUAGGCGGCCUGAGAGGGUGACCGGCCACCUUGGGACUGAGGUACGGCCCAGACUCCUACGUGAGGCAGCAGUGGGGAAUAUUGCACAAUGGGCGGAAGCCUGUUGCAGCGACGCCGCGUUCGGGAUGCCGGCUUUCGGGUUGUAAACCGCUUUCGCCUGUGACGAAGCGUUAGUGACGGUAAUGGGUAAAGAAGCACCGGCUAACUACGUG
rnacentral:rRNA from 1 species